rnacentral:lncRNA from 1 species
GUCGGGAUCUGAAUGAGUAUAUUUUAUUUUCAUUUCCCCUGUCGACUGUCGUAAAGUUCCUAGUAAUGCAAUAUAAAAUUCUACUGAAUCAGAUAUAAUUUUAUUUCGUCAUGCACAUGGAAUUUCACUCAUAUGAAUUAAUAUCAAUAUCGUCCGAUUUUCACAUCAAACGAGCAUAUCAUGACUUGAAACUUGCGUGAACAGGUUCCAUGUGAAUCUUAUGAUAAUAGUUCAUGCAUAAAUCACCGGAAUUUUGUACACGUUAAAUUCACGUAAAUAUUUGAAAUAAAAUUAUUU